rnacentral:rRNA from 1 species
UACGGGGGGGGGCAAGCGUUGUUCGGAAUUACUGGGCGUAAAGGGUUCGUAGGUGGCCAACUAAGUCAUACGUGAAAUCCCUCAGGUUAACUGGGGAACUGCGUCUGAUACUGGAUGGCUUGAGUGCAGGAGAGGAACGCGGAAUUCCAGGUGUAGCGGUGAAAUGCGUAGAUAUCUGGAGGAACACCGGUGGCGAAGGCGGCGUUCUGGACUGCAACUGACACUGAGGAACGAAAGCCAGGGGAGCAAACGGG